rnacentral:rRNA from 1 species
AAUAACUUUACGGAUCACAUUAUGUGACAUAUCAUUCAAGUUUCUGACCUAUCAGCUUUAGACGGUAGGGUAUUGGCCUACCGUGGCUAUGACGGGUAACGGGGAAUUAGGGUUCGAUUCCGGAGAGGGAGYCUGAGAAACGGCUACCACAUCUAAGGAAGGCAGCAGGCGCGCAAAUUACCCAAUCCUAAUACAGGGAGGUAGUGACAAGAAAUAACAAUACAGAACCUUACGGUUUUGUAAUUGGAAUGAGUUAAGUAUAAACCCCUUAACAAGUAUCAAUUGGAGGGCAAGUCUGGUGCCAGCAGCCGCGGUAAUUCCAGCUCCAAUAGCGUAUAUUAAAGUUGUUGCAGUUAAAAAGCUCGUAGUUAAUCUUCUGUUAAUUUUUAUAUAUAAUAUCACGAUAUUUAUAUAAUAUUAACAUAAUUAUUCUAGAAUAAAAAUGAUGAUUAAUAGGGACAGUUGGGGGCAUUUGUAUUUAACAGUCAGAGGUGAAAUUCUUAGAUUUGUUAAAGACAAACUACUGCGAAAGCAUUUGCCAAGGAUGUUUUCAUUAAUCAAGAACGAAAGUUAGGGGAUCGAAGACGAUCAGAUACCGUCGUAGUCUUA